rnacentral:lncRNA from 1 species
GUGUAUCAGAACAUACAUUUAUACAAUUAUAUACAUAGCAAUUUGAUAUUUACACCCGGCCCAUUGGACCUAUAUGUCACUUUAGCAAUAUAAUAUCAUAUCCGAAAACGUAAAAGUUAACAAAAUAAAAAUACAGAAUUAGAUGUAAAGUUUUUUUUUCUAUGAAUGAAAGCUGAAUUUACAAAUUUUGCAGUUUGAAUUUGAUAAUAUUUCAAUAAAUGGAUAAGUUUUUCGCUGUUGUCACUAAAAUUGUCUAAUGCGGCCAUAGGUAGAAACCUUUGUCUCAGUUUGUCAUAACAUGGACAGUUUAACAUAAAAUGUUUUUCAUCUUCGACCUCUUGCUUUUCACACAGUACACAUAUUCGGUCUGGUAGCGCUUCGUUACGGAACCUUCCAGUCUCAAUGCGUAUAGGAAGAAUCCCACAUCUUAAUUGGGAAAGAGCCGAUCGUUCUUGUUUAGACAGAUUUGAUGUAAUAUACUGUUCUAGUUCGUAAUUUUCUUUGAAGGUCACAAAUGUUCGUAGUUUCGGUGAUAAAGCAGAUUUGUAUUUCCAUUCACUUUCAGUAUAACAUAAAAGUUUUUCUUUAGCUUCUUGUAUGUCCACUAUUUGUUUUGUUUCAUAGAGGUUACUUAAACCAAGUUUAUUAAAGAUGUCCAUAACUUGUGUGCACCAUAAUCCAUUAUUCUUAUACUCCCACUCGAAAACUUUUUUCGUGAGUCUCUCGUCGUCCAUAAGAAUGAGACGGUUCCAUAGGCGUACCAUAUUUAACCAAUGUCUUUGCGUUGGUGGUAAC